rnacentral:rRNA from 1 species
GAACUGAAGAGUUUGAUCAUGGCUCAGAUUGAACGCUGGCGGCAGGCCUAACACAUGCAAGUCGAGCGGAAACGAUCCUAGCUUGCUAGGAGGCGUCGAGCGGCGGACGGGUGAG